UAGCACAGUAGGAGAAAAUGGGGAUCGAAGGUAGGGUAAAAAAGGGGGCAAUAGAGGAAGAAGGGGGAGGCAGCGGGGGUCUGAUCCGAUAAGGGGAGGAGCGAAAAGGGAAAGGAAGGCCGAGCGACAGGAUGCCGACUUCAGAAAGCCAUCAGGAAGAAGGGGGGAGCUCGAAGAUGUAGGCUCUGAGAAGAAAAUGAGAGGUCGGAUGGUGCGAGGU
rnacentral:lncRNA from 1 species